ensembl:piRNA 21ur-9276 ncRNA
UUAGUUGAAGUUAUGGCUAGU